rnacentral:lncRNA from 1 species
AUUACAAAAGCUAAUUAGCUAACAUUAAGUUCGGUAACAUGAGCAGGAACACAAGAGAGCAAAAGCCAACAGUGGCAAUAGAGAUAAAACUACGAUGCCAUAGCUUGGUUCAAUUGCCUCCAUGAGUGACGUCUGUCCUGCUUUCAGAUGUCUCUGUUUUGUGCCUGGCAAAUUUGGCAAAAUUUCUCAUAAUUCUUAAAUAUAUCACUUUAAAUAUGAAAACUGAUACAUGCACACAUAUGUAAUGAAAUUAAAUUUGAGUAAUGCAACAGUAGAGUGGAAGUCUCAUGAAUAUGGGAAGAAAUAUUACAAAUGUUCUGCAUCCUUUUGACACUACCAAUCUAAAGUGAUUAUUUCUAUGGGAACUAUUUUAAUGAGCUUUAGUUAAAUUAUGUUCUUGAUGAAUAACAGUGGCUCUGAACUAUACAUGGCCAUAAGAAGUGCAUCCAUAGACAGACCCUUUUGCCUUUGAUAUUAUGAUAUACAAAAAUCCUUGAUAAAUAAAGUGUAUCCAAGUCCGUAGUAUAACAAACUACCUGGAUAGACUGGGCCUCAAUGGAACCUCCUACAGUAUUGAUCCAUACACGGCGUAGGUGCACCACUACCGACCAACUCCAACACCGUGCUGACAGCCCGCCUUGCCGAUACCUACCCGCCCACACUUGGUCCUCUUGCCCGGGACACUGCAUAGCAGGCAACACAUAAACUUGAUCACACAAACCUUAAUCAAUUUUCUGCUUGCAAAAUAAAAGAGCAUAUUCCCAAACCACAAAGAUGGGACGACGACCAUCUUGGUCAGAGGAGGUAGUGUAUGAUUAAAAAUGGUAGUUUGUUGUAUUAAAAAAUUGUAGAAAUUGGAGUGGACAUCCGUGGAUCUACCAUGUAAGGAAUAUACCGAACAUAAUUUGGUCUCACUAUUGGUAGAGCUUAGAGAACAACAAAGUAAUGCAGAAAACAAAACAUGGGACCGUACAUAUUCUACAUAACACACCACUGCACCAUAUAGAUACAAGACAGAUCAAUUAGAAGGGGCAACUUGUGCUCUGUUUAUGAGAGAAAUAAAUCAAAUAAUAUUGCAAGAGACUGAAAAAUGAUGGCAAGAACAAAUCAAAUAAUAUUGCAAGAUACAACACAUUAUGAAAGAUCAUACCUCGACAAAGCAAACCAAGAACAGUAGAUCCGCGGAUGG